rnacentral:rRNA from 1 species
GCGAUUUGCGGCGGCCUACCAUGCAGUCGGACGGUAGCACAGAGAACUUGGUCUCGUGUGAGAAGUGUGGGACGGGUGAGUAAUGUGUGGGGAUCUGCCCCAUAUAGGGGGAGAACCCCUGUGAACGGUGGGUAAUACCCCAUAACGUCUCACAACCAAAAAGGGGGACCUUCUCGCCUCUCUCUAUCUCAUGAACCCCCAUGGGAUUAUCUCUUAUGCGGGGUAAUGUGCCCCCUCUGCGACAAUCCCUCUCUGGGCUGAGAGGAUGACCCCCCCCACUGUGACUGAGACACGGUCCCCACUCCUACAGGAGGCGCCACUGGGGAAUAUUGUGCAAUGUGCGCACACCUGAUGCACCCCUGCCCCGUGUGUAAAAAAAGCCUUCUCGUUGUAAAAUACUUUCUCCGGGGAGAAAAGCGACAGGGUUAAUAACCCCGUCUAUUGACAUUUCCCCCACAAAAAACACCGGCUAUCUCU